rnacentral:rRNA from 1 species
UACGUAGGGUGCAAGCGUUUUCCGGAAUUAUUGGGCGUAAAGAGCUCGUAGGCGGUUCGUCGCGUCGGCUGUGAAAUCCCGGAGCUCAACUCCGGGUCUGCAGUCGAUACGGGCGGACUCGAGUUCGGCAGGGGAGACUGGAAUUCCUGGUGUAGCGGUGAAAUGCGCAGAUAUCAGGAGGAACACCGGUGGCGAAGGCGGGUCUCUGGGCCGAUACUGACGCUGAGGAGCGAAAGCGUGGGGAGCGAACAGG